CUACUCACAUCAUCUAGUGGUUUGGAUUUAAAUAUGAAUAUUCUUUACGUUGAAUAUUUCAUACAUUUCUAUUGCAUUUUGUAAAGAAAAUAUCAACGAUCAGAACAAAUGUUUAACGGUUCUAAUGAAGGUCGAAGGAGACUUUAAUAACAGAACAUAAUUACACACGUUGUGCGUCCAAGAAGACGUCUUCGUGGACAUAUGAGGUCACUUCCUGUUCACUGGCUUCACGUUCUUACGUUUAACGGCGUUGAUCAGCAGCGGUUUGAUGACCGAUUGUUUCCGUGACAACAUCCUUCUGUCGUCUCGUUCAUUCUAUCACCACCUCGAUGUCCACGGCCUUCAGCUCCUGGACGAACACCACGUCGUCCCCGCGGUCCAGCUCCGCGGGCUCCUCCCACGGCUCGUCUUUGCAUGCGAGCGCGGGCGGCUCGGCGUCCUCGAAGGGCAGCUCCACGGCGCCGCUCAGGUAAGCUCCCGCUCGGCCGCUCUUGGCCGCUAUGGCGACGACCUGCGAGGCCACGGCCCAGGCGAACUCCACCCUGCGGUGCCUCUGGGAGCUCAGGUCCAGGUUGCGCUCCAGGAUCUCGUAGAGCGCCGGGACGUAGCGGUUGCAGUGGCGCUGCACGUAGCGGUGCAUCUCCAGGAGCGCCCCCCUCGUCAGCGCCCGCGGGUCCAGCUUGGCCUCGCCAUCUGGUUUGGCGCCGACGUCGAGGUCCAGUCCAAUCUGCUGGCAGACCGGAUAGCAGUGGAGCGGCUCCGCCUCCUGCUCCUCCUCCUCCUCCUCCACCUUCUCCUCCUUCACGUUCGGGACCUCCGGGUCCGACGGGGGGUCCUCGGCCCCGAGCGGCGGGGGGCCGCUCAGCUGGACGGUCGCCUCCAACCACCGGGCGAGCUUCUGCGACGCGGUCGGCCUCUUCAUCACGGCCCUCUGCUCGGCGUACCACCCCUGGAGGGCCCGCGAGGCCCCCGUGGCGCCGCCCUGCAAGUCCAGCGGGAAGUUGUGCUCCAGGAGGUCGCUGACCGUGUGGCGGGCGGAGCCGCACAGCUCCCUGACGAAGGCAAACGCCUCCAGCACGGCGCCGGUGGUGAGGGCCGCCAGGUCCAGCUUCUGGCUCGCCGGGCGCUCUUCAGUGGACCACAGGUCCAGGCCCAGCUGCUCGCAGAAGGGAUGCGGCUCCCUGUUGGGGUCCGGGGCCGGCGGCUCGACCCCCUGCCCGGCCUGAGUAUCAGCGGGCACGUCGGGCACGUCGGGCACGUUGUAGACCUCCGGGAAGCUGAAGGGGCUCUGGAGGAACUGGGCCUUGCGUCGGUCGGGGUGGUUCUGGAGGAGCCGCUCUUUCGUGAUCAUGUAAAAUAUGAAGUUGCGCUGAUGCAACUCGUUUUGGAAGAUGAGGAUGAAGUUUUUGUCCAAGAUCUCAAACAAGAAGCCGCCCAAACUCUUGGUCAUCGCAGUCGCAAACUUAUGAAGCUCCAGCAGCACGCCGUUGGUGAGCAGCUGCGGGUCCAGGUCCCGC
ensembl:lncRNA